AGCACUUUAGCGCAGAGGAAGCGCGUUGGGCUCAUAGGGCUCUCUCCAACGAGCCCGCGAUACCCAAAGGCCCCAGGAUCGAAACCUGGAAGUGCUA